AUACUCAGUAGUCCUGUGGCCAGUGGCUGCCAUAGGGACAGAGCAGCCCCAGGAGUCUCACUGUGGGGUUUGAGGUACAGUUUCUUAUGGAGCCCUUGUCUCUGUGCAUGCGCUAACUUUGCAUCUGGCCUGGGACGGCCUUCUUCUCCCUCCUGAGGCUGGCCUGCCCUCCGACACCCUGGCACUAGUGGCACUUCUAGGUUUUGUUUUCAGUCUUGAAGUCCUCCCAGGGUGGUCCGAACUGAUGGUGAGAGCCCUGCUUCCUGGGGAUUGGCCUCACUUCUGCCAUCAGGAAAACCACUGAGUUACUCCAUGUAUUUCAGGAGAACCUCAUUUGUCUAGGGAGGCGAUGGGUAGGAUGUUAGAAACAAGGGCACUGGGGUCUGACCGUCUAGAUUGCCACGUGGACAGUGCAACUCACACGCCCUCAGGCCAGGCCUUUCACUUUCCCAUGCCUCAGUUUACCCAUCUGUAAGAAGGGAACUCCCCAGAACACAUGGAAACCUCCUGGAGGUGACUGUUCUCAGGGUUGUAUAUGUGGUCUGUUGUAUAUGAACUUGAAGCGUGUGAAACUGCAGGAUGACAUGCAGCUCUGGUGCCCUUGGAGCUCAGGGGUCGCGUGUUCCCACCCUUGUUUAGAGAAGCAAAGUGUGUCUGGUGCAGGCCCUUCACCUGGGUCGUUCUGUGGGUGCCUGAGCCAGGUAAAGGUCCUCUCAGCCUGUUUCCAUGGCGGCCUCAGCUGUUGCCUCAAGUGCCCCCAUGCCUGCCCUUCCACUGCACUAAACUGAGAUGGUGUUGACUUCUCAGCCCAGGACCCAGGGAUCUCCCCCAGCCAGAGUCUGUGUGCGGAAAGUUCCAGAGGCCUCAGUGCAGGCUCCCUGUCGGAGAGUGCAGUUGGGCCCGUGGAGGCAUGCUGCCUGGUCAUCCUGGCUGCAGAGAGCAAGGUCGCUGCGGAGGAGCUUUGCUGUCUGCUAGGCCAGGUCUUCCAGGUUGUUUACACGGAGUCCACCAUCGACUUUCUGGACAGAGCGAUAUUUGAUGGGGCCUCUACCCCCACCCACCACCUGUCCCUGCACAGCGAUGACUCUUCUACAAAAGUGGACAUUAAGGAGACCUACGAGGUGGAAGCCAGCACUUUCUGCUUCCCUGAAUCUGUGGAUGUGGGUGGUGCGUCACCCCAUGGCAAGACCAUCAGUGAGAGCGAGCUGAGCGCCAGCGCCACUGAGCUGCUGCAGGACUACAUGCUGACGCUGCGCACCAAGCUGUCAUCACAGGAGAUCCAGCAGUUUGCAGCGCUGCUGCACGAGUACCGCAAUGGGGCCUCUAUCCACGAGUUCUGCAUCAACCUGCGGCAGCUCUACGGGGACAGCCGCAAGUUCCUGCUGCUUGGUCUGAGGCCCUUCAUCCCUGAGAAGGACAGCCAGCACUUCGAGAACUUCCUGGAGACCAUUGGCGUGAAGGAUGGCCGCGGCAUCAUCACCGACAGCUUUGGCAGGCACCGGCGGGCCCUGAGCACCACAUCCAGUUCCACCACCAAUGGGAACAGGGCCACGGGCAGCUCUGAUGACCGGUCGGCACCCUCAGAGGGGGAUGAGUGGGACCGCAUGAUCUCGGACAUCAGCAGCGACAUUGAGGCGCUGGGCUGCAGCAUGGACCAGGACUCAGCAUGAUGGACAGUGGAUGGGGGGCACCCACACCUUCCGCGCAGUCGUCGUAGGCCUUCCCAGAAGGAGCUGCCCAGACCUGCGUGUCAGCCCUUGGUGGUGGCCAGGGAGAGGCUCCUGGCGCAGAUGGCCCCGGGCGGCCCAGGUCCUCUACUGUGAAGGAGCAGGGAGCUGCCGAGGGACACGAGCCUCAUUGCGGGGUGGAAGGCUCUUUGCCUUGUCCACCAGGGCUCAGCCAAGCCCUGCAGCGUGUCCCCGCUCGGGGAGGGCCCGGCCGAGCGGGCAGGGAGAGCCAGUCCUGUCGGCUGGGCCCUUGGACGGCUGUCAGUUUUGCACAUGAUUUUCCUAUUGUAACUCUCAGAGACCUUAAAAAGAAGUUUACUGC
rnacentral:sRNA from 1 species